rnacentral:lncRNA from 1 species
GUAGCCUAGUGGUUAGAGGAGGCAGGUAGCCUAGUGGUUAGAGGAGGCAGGUAGCCUAGUGGUUAGAGGAGGCAGGUAGCCUAGUGGUUAGAGGAGGCAGGUAGCCUAGUGGUUAGAGGAGGCAGGUAGCCUAGUGGUUAGAGGAGGCAGGUAGCCUAGUGGUUAGAGGAGGCAGCUAGCCUAGUGGUUAGAGGAGGAGGCAGCUAGCCUAGUGGUUAGAGGAGGCGGGUAGCCUAGUGGUUAGAGGAGGCAGGUAGCCUAGUGGUUAGAGGAGGCAGGUAGCCUAGUGGUUAGAGGAGGAGGCAGGUAGCCUGGUGGUUAGAGGAGGCAGGUAGCCUAGUGGUUAGAGGAGGCAGGUAGCCUAGUGGUUAGAGAGUUGGGCCAGUAACUGAAGGUGAAAAUCUGUCAUUCUGCCCCUGAUUCUUAACUGACUUGCCUAGUUAAAUGAAGGUUAAAUAAAGGUUAAAUUAAUAAAACAUGUAAAAGUCUGUGUGCAUGUUGAAGGUUAAAUAAAGGUUACAUGAAGGUUACAUUAAUAAAACAUGUAAAAAUCUGACUGUGUGUGUGUUGAAGGUUAAAUGAAGGUUAAAUAAAGGUUAAAUGAAGGUUACAUUAAUAAAACAUGUAAAAAUCUGACUGUUUUUGUGUUGAAGGUUAAAUGAAGGUUAAAUAAAGGUUAAAUGAAGGUUACAUUAAUAAAAGAUGUAAAAGUCUGACUGUGUGUGUGUCUUGUCUCUAGCUGUGGAGCGUUUAGGGUUGGGUUGGCUGGUGGUCGUUGACUCUUCAUCACUCUCACUGGUGCUCACGAUACGCUGGGCCUUUCUACCAGUACGCCUCAACAAUGACUUCCUGAAACACACACACACACACACACACACACACACACACACACACACACACACACACACACACACACACACACACACACACACACACACACACACACAC